GUCUUCUCCAUAUUCACUGAGCACACAAGGCCCACACCAUGGGAUGGAGCUGUACCAUUCUUGUCCUUGUGUUAGUAACGAGAGGUGUCCACUCCCAAGUACAGCUGCAUCAGUCAGGGCCUGAACUGGGGAAACCUGGGACCUCAGUGAAAUUGUCCUGCAAGGCUUCAGGCUAUACUUUCACUAACUAUGAAAUGAACUGGGUGAAGCAGAGUCCUGCACAGGUCCUGGAGUGGAUUGGAGCUAUUCAUCCUGGAAGUGGUGGUACUGGCUACAAUCAGAAGUUCCAGAGCAAGGCCAAACUGACUGCAGACACAUCUUCCAGCACAGCCUACAUGGAGCUCAGCAGCCUGACAUCUGAGGACUCUGCGGUCUACUACUGUACAAGACACAGUGUUAUAACCACAUCCUGA